AAGGAAUAUUGGACAAUGGAGGCAACUCUGAUCCAGCCAUGCCGCGUGAAGGAAUAAGGCCCUAUGGGUUGUAAACUUCUUUUAGACGGGACAAAACCCCUUUACGUGUAAAGGGUUGAUGGUACUGUCAGAAUAAGCAUUGGCUAACUUCGUGCCAGCAGCCGCGGUAAUACGAAGGAUGCAAGCGUUAUCCGGAAUUAUUGGGUUUAAAGGGUGCGUAGGCGGACUAAUAAGUCAGUGGUGAAAGCCUGCAGCUUAACUGCAGAAUUGCCAUUGAUACUGUUAGUCUUGAGUACAGUUGAGGUAGGCGGAAUGUGUCAUGUAGCGGUGAAAUGCUUAGAUAUGACACAGAACACCGAUUGCGAAGGCAGCUUGCUAAGCUGUAACUGACGCUGAGGCACGAAAGCGUGGGGAGCAAACA
rnacentral:rRNA from 1 species